GAUGAACGCUGGCGGCGUGCCUAAUACAUGCAAGUCGAGCGAACGGACGAGAAGCUUGCUUCUCUGAUGUUAGCGGCGGACGGGUGAGUAACACGUGGAUAACCUACCUAUAAGACUGGGAUAAUUUCGGGAAACCGGAGCUAAUACCGGAUAAUAUUUUGAACCGCAUGGUUCAAAAGUGAAAGACGGUCUUGCUGUCACUUAUAGAUGGAUCCGCGCUGCAUUAGCUAGUUGGUAAGGUAACGGCUUACCAAGGCAACGAUGCAUAGCCGACCUGAGAGGGUGAUCGGCCACACUGGAACUGAGACACGGUCCAGACUCCUACGGGAGGCAGCAGUAGGGAAUCUUCCGCAAUGGGCGAAAGCCUGACGGAGCAACGCCGCGUGAGUGAUGAAGGUCUUCGGAUCGUAAAACUCUGUUAUUAGGGAAGGACAUAUGUGUAAGUAACUGUGCACAUCUUGACGGUACCUAAUCAGAAAGCCACGGCUAACUACGUG
rnacentral:rRNA from 1 species